rnacentral:tRNA from 1 species
GAGGGUAUAUCUCAGUGGUAGAGCACAUGCUUAGCGUGCACAUGCACAGUGAGGUCCUGGGUUCAAUCCCCAGUACCUCCU